GAAUCUGAAUUAGGAAUGAACUUCUUAAGAAGAUAAGCACAACAGAUUGUAUGAUCCAGAUCCAUUUCUUCUACCUUUGGCAGGUCAUGCAGUGCUGCUCACUAUUUAGUAGCUGAAUCAAUGAAUGAGAGAUACAUCAAAUAGAAGAGAUAAUGAUACAGAUUUCUACUGAGAGAGACCAAGGCUUGCACUAGAUGGAUGAG